AAGUCGUAACAAGGUUUCCGUAGGUGAACCUGCGGAAGGAUCAUUACCUAGAGUUUGUGGGCUUUGCCUGCUAUCUCUUACCCAUGUCUUUUGAGUACUUACGUUUCCUCGGCGGGUCCGCCCGCCGAUUGGACAAAAUUAAACCCUUUGCAGUUGCAAUCAGCGUCUGAAAAACAUAAUAGUUACAACUUUCAACAACGGAUCUCUUGGUUCUG
rnacentral:misc_RNA from 1 species